rnacentral:rRNA from 1 species
AUUGAACGCUGGCGGCGUGCCUAACACAUGCAAGUCGAGCGGUAACAGGUGCAGCAAUACAUGCUGACGAGCGGCGAACGGGUGAGUAAUGCUUCGGAAUCUGCCCAUGUAGUGGGGAAUAACCAGCCGAAAGGUUGGCUAAUACCGCAUACGACCCUUGCCCACAAGGCAAAGGUGAAAGCAGGGGAUCGCAAGACCUUGCGCUAUUGGANGAGCCGAAGUCGGAUUAGCUAGUUGGUAGGGUAACGGCCUACCAAGGCGACGAUCCGUAGCUGGUCUGAGAGGACGACCAGCCACACUGGGACGUGAGACACGGCCCAGACUCCUACGGGAGGCAGCAGUGGGGAAUAUUGGACAA